UGACUUUGAGAGUGUUGAUAGAU
rnacentral:misc_RNA from 1 species